GAAUUGACUGGCUAGAUGACGCUAGCGGGAGGCCUAACACAUGCAAGCCGAGCGGUAGAGUGUCUUCGGAUACUUGAGAGCGGCGUACGGGUGCGGAACACGUGUGCAACCUGCCUUUAUCUGAGGGAUAGCCUUUCGAAAGGAAGAUUAAUACCUCAUAAUAUACUGAUUGGCAUCAAUUAGUAUUGAAAGCUCCGGCGGAUAGAGAUGGGCACGCGCAAGAUUAGAUAGUUGGUGAGGUAACGGCUCACCAAGUCAAUGAUCUUUAGGGGGCCUGAGAGGGUGAUCCCCCACACUGGUACUGAGACACGGACCAGACUCCUACGGGAGGCAGCAGUGAGGAAUAUUGGACAAUGGGUGCAAGCCUGAUCCAGCCAUCCCGCGUGAAGGACGACGGCCCUAUGGGUUGUAAACUUCUUUUGUACAGGGAUAAACCUACUCUCGUGAGGGUAGCUGAAGGUACUGUACGAAUAAGCACCGGCUAACUCCGUGCCAGCCGCCGCGGUAAUUCGUCGUGACUGGGAAA
rnacentral:rRNA from 1 species